UACGUAGGGGGCCAGCGUUGUCCGGAGUUACUGGGCGUAAAGCGCACGCAGGCGGUCGGUGGCGUCGGUGGUGACAGUGCUCGGCUUAACUGAGCAAGGGCUGCCGAAACGGGCCGACUUGAGGGCCAGAGAGGGAGACGGAACUCCGGGUGGAGCGGUGAAAUGCGUAGAGAUCCGGAAGAACACCGAAGGCGAAGGCAGUCUCCUGGCUGGUUCCUGACGCUCAGGUGCGAAAGCGAGGGGAG
rnacentral:rRNA from 1 species